CUAAACGCUUAUCAGUUAACUUUGUUAUGGGCGGUACGUAGAGAAACUUACGUGCGUUUACCUGUCAAACUCGGGGAAGCCAUUAGCGUGGUAAUCCCGAACCAAGCUCCAGAAAUGGAGAAGGUGUAGAGACUGGAAGGCAGGCACCCUAACGUUAAAGACGAGGGUGAAGGGACAGUCCAGACCACAAACCAGCAAGUCUGG
rnacentral:ncRNA from 1 species